AUUGACCUUUUCUAAACUGGUCAGCUGUGGCAGUCUUCCUUCCUAGCCAUGGAAAGGCAUAUUCUUGUUUAUUGGCAAAGCUGUACCCUUUUAAUGGGGAGCCGAUUCUGACUUUCACAGGUAACCUC